CUCGGGAGGGUGGCUCCCCCUCAAUACGAUGCUCAGGGCACACGUCCUACCUCACCUCGUUCCCCGCCAACCGAGCCUUUCGAAAUCCCGACCCAUCCCCGUCCAUUCGCCGAAGCAGAUCCACUGCGAAUCGCUCCUGUCCCUCUUGAGAAGAUGCACUUCCACGAGAGCAGUCCGGCAAGUCCACGCGCAGAUGCUCGCCGGCGCCGUCGACAAGCCCAACUUCCUCCUCGCGAAGCUCGUCGACCUCAAGGACGUGCCGUACGCUUCCCUCGUCUUCUCUCGCAUCCCUCGGCCCAACGACUACGCCUUCAAUGUCAUGAUCCGGGGCUUGACCAUCGCGCGGCACAACUACCCUUUGGCGCUGCGCUACUACUACCGCAUGAGAUCCGCAGGGCUGAAGCCCAAUAAUUUCACGUACCCAUUUCUGUUCAUGGCGUGCGCGAAUCUUUGCGAGCUGGACCGCGGUCGAGCGGCUCAUUCGACGGUGUUUAAGGCUGGGUUGGACUCGGACAGUCAUACUAGUCACUCGUUGAUCAUGAUGUACGCCAAGUGCAGGGAGCUGGAGACUGCACGCAGGGUGUUUGACGAAAUUGUCGACAGAGAUUUGGUCUCGUGGAACUCGAUGAUAUCUGGGUAUGCGAAAAUGGGUUUUGCAGCGGAUGCGGUCGAGCUGUUCAGGAAAAUGGGGGAGGAAGGAUUCGUGCCUGAUGAAAUGACCGUGGUGAGCACUCUCGCGGCGUGUGGAGACUUGGGGGAUCUGAGUUUGGGCAAGUGGAUAGAAGUAUAUGUUCUGGAUAAUGUGAUGAAGUUGAACUCAUACGUGGGAUCUGCCUUGAUUGAUAUGUACGGGAAAUGUGGGGAUUUGACAUCAGCAAAGAGAAUUUUUGAUAAAAUGGUAGAGAGGGAUGUAGUGACUUGGAAUGCUAUGAUCACAGGUUAUGCCCAAAAUGGGAUGGCUGAUGAAGCGAUCACACUAUUUAGCACGAUGAGAGAGGCUGGCAUUGAUCCUGACAAAAUUACACUGCUCGGUGUGUUGUCUUCUUGUGCCUCAAUAGGCGCCCUAUACUUGGGGAAGUGGGUGGACACAUAUGCGUCUUAUAGUGGCUUAAGGCGUGAUGUUUAUGUUGGUACUGCUUUAAUUGAUAUGUAUGCUAAGUGUGGAAGUUUAGACAAUGCUCUUGAAGUUUUUGAAGACAUGCCUCAGAAAAAUGAGGUAUCUUGGAAUGCUAUGAUUUCUGCCCUAGCUUUUCAUGGUCGAGCAAAGGAGUCAUUAGCACUAUUUGAUCGGAUGUUGAAAGAGGGUGAGCAUGUCUGCCCAAAUGACAUCACAUUCGUCGGAGUACUCUCUGCAUGUGUGCAUGGUGGUCUGGUUACUGAGGGGCGUAGAAUAUUUGCUCUGAUGUGCACGUCAUUUGGAUUGGUCCCAAAAAUUGAGCAUUAUUCUUGUAUGGUUGACCUAUUUUCUCGUGCUGGACUUUUAUAUGAGGCAUGGAGCUUCAUUGAGGAGAUGCCUGGAAAGCCAGAUGAAGUUGUUCUGGGGUCAUUACUUGGUGCCUGUCAGAAGCGGCGAAAUGCAGAUAUCGGUGAGCGGGUGAUGCAGCUGCUUCUGGAAAUAGAACCUUCGAAUUCUGGGAACUAUGUUAUAUCAUCAAAACUCUAUGCUGAUGUGAAGAAGUGGGAUGAAUCAGCGAGGAUGAGAAUAUUGAUGAGACAAAGGGGUAUAACUAAGACACCUGGUUGCAGUUGGUUGGGGAUUGAGACUCAGCUUCAUGAAUUUCAUGCUGGUGAUGGUUUGCAUUAUAACACAGUGGAGAUGUAUCAAGUAUUGGUGGAUGAGAUGAAGAGGGAAGGUUAUAUUCCGAAAGCUGACAAUUCCGAAGAAACUGAGAAUCAGUAAAUAGGGUUCUUCUCUACUCUUCAAUCAAAUUUCUAUUGUAGAUAGCUCUGCAGCAUUCAUUUCUCCCAGGUAAUUGAUUAGUGCAGUUCCCAGGAAAUAAUUACAGCGCAUGGAGGGAUUCUCUGGACUGACUAGUGCUGGAGCUUAGAACAACCCCUGGAUGACUGAGAUAUGGCGAUCGUUUAGCAUUUGUUCCUGCAAGCUCUCGAAGCACUUGGAACAGAGGAAUUUAAUGGUAACUCCAAGUUGGUUUCAUCUAUUUUUGUAUUUUUAUGAUGUGUUGAAAACGGUGCUUCUGUGUGGUUCAUAGCAUAAUUGCUGUUCGACGGUCGCUAAUCUGGGGUUUCCUUUGGAGAAUGAGAGCCCAAGAAAUCAGAGAGGGUAUUGAGCGAACCGUACAUAUUUGUUUCUGCGAAUUAUGCAUCUACCCUUAAUCACAGGGGCCUUUCAGAAUCCCAGGUGUGGCUAGUCUACCCUUAAUCUUAUACUUCAAUUUGCAGCAAGUGCCUUACAUAAACUCAAAUGACUUACUAAUCAUUGAGUUGUUUAGCAGAGAAUGUUUACAUGUUAUUGAGGCCUGUUGUGGAGAUAAUUGAAAUGUCCAGGCGACAGACUCAUAGACUUGAAGAUGGUUUGCUACAAAUCACAAGUUUAUUCAGUUUAAAGUUGGGGAUAUGUUAUUCUAAAGCUUGUGAGGAACUCUUGCUCCACUGGAUUAUGCAUUUGGUUGCUAUACCUAAUGUUAUUCUACCCUUAAUCAGGCCAUCUUGUUCCAUGACUGUAAUUGCUUAAAGAUUCAGAAUCCAGAUGCAAUUCAGAAGUCAUGGAAGAUCAGUUUAUACUAGAUGAAAAAUGACAGGUGAGUUGUAGGGUGGAAUGAGGAAGAUCUAGAAGAGGCAUUUAACGUAAGAUAAAUUUUCUUAAAUCUGUCAUUCUGAUUAUGUCACCUACCUAGAGGAUCAAAUUCCGAUCAUAUUGAUUCAAACUCUUUCCUCAGUUUGUUACUUUGCCCAUACUUGCUAACCCGCUCACUUGUUGGGGGAUUGAAGUUACACACAUUGUAGUCUUAAGGAGUUUCAAUUCCAUCAAAUGAAGAUGUGUACUUCAUAA